GUGCGAAACCCCAGCCGGCCGCCCUCGGUCGGUGGGUCGGUCAGGCGUGGCUGCCUGGCCCUGAUGAUGCAGCCCGAG
rnacentral:hammerhead_ribozyme from 1 species